ACUCCUACGGGAGGCAGCAGUGGGGAAUAUUGCACAAUGGGGAAACCCUGAUGCAGCCAUGCCGCGUGUGUGAAGAAGGCCUCGGUUGUAAAGCACUUCAGUAGGGAGGAAGGUAGUGUAGUUAACACCUGCACUAUUUGACGUUACCUACAGAAGAAGCACCGGCUAACUCCGUGCCAGCAGCCGCGGUAAUACGGAGGGGUGCGAGCGUUAAUCGGAAUUACUGGCGUAAAGCGCAUGCAGGCGGCCUGUUAAGUCAGAUGUGAAAGCCCGGGGGCUUAACCUCGGAAUUGCAUUUGAAACUGGCAGGCUAGAGUCUUGUAGAGGGGGUAGAAUUUCAGGUGUAGCGGUGAAAUGCGUAGAGAUCUGAAGGAAUACCAGUGGCGAAGGCGGCCCCCUGGACAAAGACUGACGCUCAGAUGCGAAAGCGUGGGAGCAAACAGGAUUAGAUACCCUGGUAGCACAGAG
rnacentral:rRNA from 1 species